rnacentral:rRNA from 1 species
AUUGAACGCUGGCGGCAGGCCUAACACAUGCAAGUCGAACGAGUAGCGGACGGGUGAGUAAGGUCUGGGAAACUGCCUGAUGGAGGGGGAUAACUACUGGAAACGGUAGCUAAUACCGCAUACCAUCAGAUGUGGUCAGAUGGGAUUAGCUAGUUGGUGGGGUAAAGGCUCACCAAGGCGACGAUCCCUAGCUGGGCUGAGAGGAGGACCAGCCACACUGGAACUGAGACACGGUCCAGACUCCUACGGGAGGCAGCAGUGGGGAAUAUUGCACAAUGGGCGCAAGCCUGAUGCAGCCAUGCCGCGUGUAUGAAGAAGGCCUUCGGGUUGUAAAGUACUUUCAGCGGGGAGGCGUUACCCGCAGAAGAAGCACCGGCUAACUCCGUGCCAGCAGCCGCGGUAAUAC